UGGUUCACCUAGGACUCGAACCUAGAAUACCCGUUAGGGUGGAGGAUUUACAAUCCCCUGACUUACCAUUAGUCUAAUGAACC
rnacentral:tRNA from 1 species